rnacentral:lncRNA from 1 species
AGCUGAACUGAAAUAUCCUCAAUACAUACGUAAAACGAUAGAGGAAAUAAACAGAUCAUCAAAGGCUUGAAAUCAACAAUUAAACAUCACUAAAAAGAUCCCAAAUAGGGGAAACAACCACUGUAAAUAUGUUUGUCAAAUAACUGAAAAACAUGAAAGACUAUCUGAAAACUGUGAAAACAAUGAAAGAGUUAGCUGAGGUCCUCCAUGGUACCACUCCAUUCGAAUCCCAGAGUCACUCCAAGGUGGUGUUGCUGCUCGUGCUCCCUUCUUAGGCGGCAUUGGCUUCUGAAGUCCCAAAGUUGGUCAUGCAUGAAGAAAGGUAGUGGGUGUCAGCGAUAAACACUGAGUAACUAAGCAUGAACGUGAAUAACUGAACUAAUAUCUAGUAAUGUGACAAUGUGGUCCUGUAGGCAUCAUCCUAACAUUAGCCAUCCCAGCUAUGAGCGGAUAGCCUCAUGCUGGAUCAGACCAUGAAACUACCAUGUAAUACCGUGAGAGAAGCUCAAGGCUUGCUCGUCACGUCUAUCUGAAGUCCGACUGUAACCUGGAGGAUCGCGCAAUCUAUGGGGUGGGUGACCGACGUAUAACAGGAGCUAAUCUAUCUUGUCCUGAUUCUUAUCCUAAUCAUGAACCAUGAAUCACACGCACUAUUCCUCGCUGUGAGCUUAUGCUCGAAAUUAACUAAUGUCUGUGCAGUGGAUCACACGCUACUGCAUAGCCUAAAAUACUCAACUGCAUAACACAACUACAUGUAUAGUAGAUCACACGCUACUGUAAAUCCCAACAAUGAUUCAUGAUAACUAAUUACAAUUCUUCGCAUAAAGCAGAAAAGUAAUCCUAACCCCUACCUUUGAAAUAUUUCCUCUGAAGAGUCUGAUUUGAAGUCAUCUCCCUAGAUUUUGAUUGCAUGAUCUGUAUGACCUGAAGAGAUCAAUCGUAGGAAAUCCCAAAACCCCAAAUCCAAACCUGUCAGGAUUAUCCUACGUGGGAUUCAAAACAAAGGAUUGAGAAAGGAGGAAGAAGGUAGAGUAC